CCCAUACUUACUUUGCUUCAAUAUAUUUCUCUUAGCUUCCUCCCUCUUAAGUGGUUCUUUUUCAUUUUUGUUUCCUACAAAGCGUCUACUUUGCCUUAUGUAUUUUUCCUCCACUUGACAAAAGUGUGUGCGUACCUUUUUCAAGUUUUGUCCCUUCCCUCAGCUGUCGCUAGGAACAAUAUAUUGAGACAAUAUAUACGGAGGCUCUUGUGUUGUCCUCAAUAGCCAUCAGCAAUGACGCCUCAUCUGCCAGUACCCUGUUGACUGGUAAUAGGGCAAACUGUUCUGCAACGGAUUGCCCUCUUACCUGGUUUGCCGUCUGGCUCAGAUUGUCCUCCAGUGACAACAGCC